AAUGAACGCUGGCGGCAUGCCUAACACAUGCCAGUCGAACGAAAACACAGGGAGCUUUCGCCCCUGCGGUUGGCGAGGGACGGAUGAGUAACACGUGCAUCGCCUACCUAUAUGACUGGGGUGAUAACGGGAGACCACAUCUACUACCACAUAAUAUAUUGAACCGCUUUGAGCAAUAGUUAUUGACGCUUUUGGUGACACUAAUAGCCGAUUCCGCGCUGGAUUAGCUACUUGGUAAGGUAACGGCUUACCAAGGCAACGAUGCGUAGCCGACCUGAGAGGGUGAUCGGCCACACUGGAACGGAGACACGGUCAAGACUCCUACGGGAGGCAGCAGUAGGGAAUCUUGCGCAAUGGGCGCAAGCUUGAUGAAGCAACACCGCGUGAGUGACGAAGGCCUUCGGGUCGUAAAACUCUGUUAUUAGGGAAGAAAAAAAGUGUAUUUAACCCUGGAUGUUAUGACGGUACCCAAGGAAAAAGCCCCGGCUAACUUCGUG
rnacentral:rRNA from 1 species